UGAGCGGCGAGCCUCCGCGCUCCCUGCAUCUUCACCCGCUGUGGGGAGCGGCGCCUCCUUGGUGUUACUGCUGUCGCUAUUCUUUUGUGCUAGUAGUACUGUGUGUACCGUGGUCUCAGAUUCUUUUGUACUAUGAUAUGAUGUCAAGGCAAAUGUAUAUUGCUUUUGACCUAUUUAAUCGAAGAAAUAUAUUUAUAUUGCUUUGGAUUUGGGUACUUGGUUGUACUCCCUUCAAUUUCAAAAUAGAUGACUCAACUUGUAAGUGCAUGAUUUAUGCAGCCAAUUAAACUAGAUUUAUGCAGUCAAUUCAGUACUACUACAGUACAACUUGGGAAAACUUGUGCUAUUUUUCAGAGUUCUUGCUGAAAUCAGACUGGCUCGCUUUGUCUGGGCUGUCUUGAGUGAGCCGGUGCGGCGGUGCUGGGCACCUAUUGGUAGAAGUGGGGAUUAAACGCAACUGUAGUUGCUGUGUGCUAGGGUGUACUGAACCUGCUUAGGCCAGUUACUCAGAAAUAUCUUCGAUGCAACAGUGGCGUGUGGCGGUCGGUGCCGCCGUGCUGGGCAGCAAGCAGCGGGGGAUCGAGGUAAAUGCACCACGGUGCCUGAAUUUGCCACGGCUGAUCACUUUGAUGUCUGGACUUGUGGCAUACAAAAAAGUGAUGCAUGAACUUAGCUUUUGCGUGCAAUAUAGUUGCAUUUGCCGUCUGUGGACCUUAACUGUGGCACCCUAUUUUCGUUUGAAGCCGUCUACUCAGCCGGCCUAGCAUCGGGUGGAGUAGUGAUCGGGUGGGGGGAUUGGAAUUGCCGACCUGCAGGCAAUUCAUGUGUUCGAUCCGAUGAACGCAGGUUAUCGCGCUCCAAUGAGCGACGUUUCAUGACUCUUCAGGCUAUGUCUGUAACAAAAUAAAUUACACUAAAAACGUUCAUGUAUUUUUAUUAAAAAAUCUUCAUGUCAUUUAAUAUAAAAUAAAUUACAUUAAAAAUGUUCAUGUAAUUUAAGAAAAUGUUCACUUACUAAUUAAAAAUACCCAUAUAAUUAUGUUAUGAAUUACAAGAUGUUUACUUUUUGAAAUUACCGCGUUCCCCAACAAGAGCAUUUUCAACAGCCGCCCAACGCACGGCACGCUAAAAACUACUUUGCAGCGCGUUCAUCGUCUGAUUUGGCGCGGCGGGCAGCGCUGGUUCCAACAGCCGCGCUAAAAUUUAGCUCGCGGGCGUAGCUCCAGCAGGCGCGUUAAAAUGCAGCGCGCGCGCUCUCGCACGAACACUCCAGACUAGGUUGCAUAGAUAUUUUUUAGAUAAUAAACGAUACAUAGUUCAUUAUAGCAUAGAUAAAACGAUACAUAGAUAUUUUACAUAGUUCAUAGCAUAGAUGGAUAAAACUAUGAUGCAACUACAUAAAAGUUAUAGUGCAACUAAUAAAAACUACGGUGCUACUAGAUAAACUAUUGUGCAACUACAACCUACUCUGAGUCGUCCUAAUCAUCAUCAUCCUCGCUGGUGUUGUCCGAGGUAUCGAGCCAAAUGUCCUCCCAACGAAAAUCAUUAUCCCCAAAGAUCGACUCCCCACCUGCUUCAAUGAUAUCGCACUGUGAUAUGGUCAGUGACUUCCGCCGACGCCUGUCCACCCGCUCUGUGCGGCGCCUUGCCGUCCUUUCCGCCCAGUAGACGCGCUCGUUGGCGACGUCCUCCGGUGACGCCGGCGCCACUCCGCCAUGGCUUGCUCAUCCUCCUCGGUGAUGAGGAGGCGGCGCUGCCGCCGACGGUGCUCCGCACGGUCCUGGUCCGUGAUAAGACGAGGCGAAGAGGCGACGGCCUGCACCUGCUCACUCGUGUAGACGUCGCGGAAGUUCAUCUGUGACGGAGGCCUCUCUAGGCGCCAGCCGCCGUGUCGUACGUGCGGGCGGCCUCGUGCGCGGUCCCGAACGUGCCGAGGCCGAGCCGGACGUCAUCGGACCGGAUCUCGGCGUAUUACGUGUCGCCGGGGCGCUUGCGGACGCCGCGGUAGUCAGACGAUCCCCGCGGCGCGGCGGCAUGGUGGUGGCAGGGCGAGGAAGCGGCGAGCAAGCGGCAGAGAGAGCGUGUGACAGUGUGGAGGCCGCGUGGCGAGCGCCACAAUUUAUAGGCGCGCCGAAAGCGGUGCGCCAAAUCUAGCGCGCGCGCAAUCGUUUUCUGCCACCGCUGGAGCGCGUGAAAACGUCCCGUGCACACUAAAGUGACAGUUUACCGCGGCCCGCUUUUUUUGGCGCCGCUGUUGAAGAUGCUCUUAUCGUUGCGCCUUGUUCACCAUCAGCCGAUGUCGCGCCUUGAUUGCUGACAUUGUUCUCGGAAGAACAACUUGAAAGAGGGUUGGCAAAGGGUGAGACGUCUGAUGAGAUUUUGUCGAGACAGGCGAUCACAUGGCACAAAUUUUCCACCAUGGGCGAUCUUAUGACAAGGACACGCAAACCGGAACACAUACCAAUGCACACAAACUACAGUAUGUUCCAUGAACUCUCCGCAGUACUGCAUUUACAUCGCAGCCACCGGCCCCUCAAAAACGGAAGGCCACGCGCGAAAGGGAAACCAGCAGCCGCGGGUAAACCAAGCACAACGAAUCACAUACCACUAUCGUCAAACAAAUGCGACAUGCAAGAUCGACAGAGACACGCACCAAAGACCAAACCAAGCACACGAUACAGAUUGUUACACCGGGCAGAGACCAAAGUAUCAUGGAGAAGAUCGAAAGGAGAUCGCGCGAGCUACUUGAACGACCGCCGGCCGACGCCGGCCGGCAUGGACACGGUGGAGUCGACGCUGAGCCCGCUGACGGACCGCCGGUGCUUGUGCCGGCCGCCACCGCCCGCCGUGGACGCCGCCGGCGUGCCCACCCGCGACGGCGCGGCGGACUGGUCCCCGCCGCCCCGCCAGAACGGGCUCUUGGCCCAGCUCCCGAUGCUGUGCCCGAGCCCGAACGAGAACCUGGGCUUCUGCUCCGCCGCGCGCCGCUCCUUGUCCAGCUGCUGCUGCAGCAGGUGCGCGCGCGCCCGGGCCUUGGCGGACGCCGACAUGGUCGGCGUCAUGUAGUUGGGCACGCCGAACGCCGGGCAGCUCGUCAGGCUCUCGUCGUCGCGGACGCUGCCGCCCCCGCCGUGGCUCGACGGCGGCGCCGCCGCCCCUCGCGCGUCCCGCGCGGGCUUGCUCGGCUGCUUGUAGUAGGCCGACGCCACCGACCGCGCCGGCGUGUUCGCGGCCGUCGUCAUCGGCGUCGCCGUGCUCAUCUGGCGGUGCGCGGCCGUCGUCGAGAUCGGCGUCGGCAUGCUCAUCUGGCGGUGCCCGGUCAUUGCCGACAUCGGCGUCAUCAUGUUCAUGUUCAUCUCGCGGUGCCCGGCCGUGGACAUCGGCGUCAUCACGCUCAUGGUCAUCUCGCGGCGCGCGACGGCGGGCGUGGGCCUGGGCCGGCUGACCGCGGGCUCGACGUGGCGGGGGUAGUCGCGCUCGUGGCUGCUGCGGUCGAUGGGCGACCACCACCAUGGGUUCCGGCCCGACUGGAGGUCAGCCAGGAUCGCGUGGGCCGCCAUCGGCGUCGACUUCAUCACCUACAUCCAUCCACGUGCCAAGAGGACACCAACAUGAACAAAUCAGGGUGCUAAAAAAGCCAAAAAAACCAGGAACAUAUUAUCUUCUAAUAAAAGAACUAGAUUAUGACAAGUGCAGGGAGAACAUAGUAAACCAUCCAAGUACCUACUGACAACGACAUCACGCCUAGUUUCAGAUAAGCAACACAGUGACACCACACCUCUGACAAAGAAAAACGUUGACAGUGUGGCUCUAGUUGGCCCAUCGACGCCAUCGAAUCGAAGCACAAGAAAAUUUUCAUCACCUACACGUCCCUCUCAGAUGAUUCGUCCAAGCAUCCCUGAUGCAGAACAUGCACUAACUACUACAGUUGGACUGACAGAAUGUGUAAACAGCUCGUGCGAGACCGACCAGACAGGUGCAGAGAAGACACAUUCCAACUCUCCAACAAUGACACCACACCUCUGGGUGGGAAAAAAUACGGUAGCUCGCUCACUAGCUUUUCGCUGGCCGCUCGAAAGUAUUUUUUCGCACCUACUGGUCUCUGUCGGGAGGAUGGAUGGAUGGAAGAGAUGUUCGGUCACCCUCUCGCUAAUAUUAAUCUGCUGUAACUACUCCCGCUGCUUGACUGACGGAAGGAAUUAAGCUGUCCCUUUUGCUUGUUUCAGAAUUCAGAUUCAGACGUGAUCGAUCGUGCUGUGUGUAUACUAUUUUUUCUGGAAGAUAAUACGUAGAGUACGUACGUACCUGGUGGGAGUAGGAGUAGGCGAGGGCUCGCUCGCGCUUCAUCACGGCCUCCGCCUUGCGCUUCGUCCUCGCGUCCUCCUCGUCCCGGCUCAGCAGGCUGUCGUCCCACACGCCGCCGUCCUGCACCUCCAAAACUUCGUCACAUGCAUGCACGGGUGAGUGUCAACGGAAAGACGAGCCAAGUGCCUGGCGUGCCGUGCGCACCUGCGAGCCGGAGCGCCAGCGGCGGCCGUCCCGGAGCAUGGCGCCGUGGCGGUCGUUGCGCCGCUCCAUGGCCUCCACGCGGCUGGCGCGGACCUGGGCCUGCACGCGCACUAGCGUCUGCAUGCACCGCAUCGCGUGCGCCGUCUGCCGCCGCACGCUGGGGCCGCGCACCACCGCCUGCAGCCGGAUCAGGCCGCGCAGCGACCGGUAGCUCCGGCGCGCCGAGUAGCCCCGGAACGCGGCCUGGAUCGCCACCGCGGCCGCGCGGGCCUGCUCCGGCGCCACGGCCCGCUGCCUCGCCCGUGUUCUGGUAUGCUGCUGCUGCGGCUGCCGCCACUCGGCCAUCUCCGCCCUGCCCUGCUGCAGCCGCUGCAGCCUCUGCUGCUGCUCCCUGUCGUGGUCGAACCGCCGGAUGAGCGGCGGCGGCGAGGACGGCGGCGCAGGCAGCUGGAGCACCGCCGCCUGCUGCUGCCGCUGCUGCUUGUCACCGCCGGCGUCGCGCUCCCGCUCCCGAUCACGCCCCCACUCCCGCUCGCGCUCGCGCGCCGCGGGCGUGGUCGGCGCCGUGGCGGCGACGGUGGCGGUGGUGGGCUUGGCGGGGGCGAUCUGGUACUGCGCCGGCGGCCUGGCGUAGUACUGCCGCUCCAUCUCGGCGUCGCCCAGGAUCUUCUCGAUGCUGCUGGGCUGCCGGUACAGCGGGAUGCUCAUCAGCGGCGCCGGGUCGGCGUGCGGCCGCGACCGCCCGAACCCCCAUCGCUUCUUGUCCCUCGCGUUCCCCCGGUACUGCUGCGGCUGCGGGGGCGGCUGCUGCGGCGGGUACUGCGCUACCAGCUGCACCUGCCAUGAAUACAUCUCACCGCUCAGUUAUCUUCCCGAAAAUUCUACAUGUAAAAUUCUUCCACUGCUAAAACUUGUAUUAAGUGUAAAGAACAUUCUUAUAUUAUGGGAUGGAGGGAGUAGAAAACUUCACGAAAGAACGGAAAAUGUGAUGCAAAUAAUACAGUAAAAAUACAGACUACACGUGCAAAUCAACGAACAGGAUAAAGUGACUUUGUACAGGGCUGUGUAUUUGUCGCCACGAUACUGCUGCACCUGUCUACAUGCGCAUACAGCUUGCAUGCAGCGAUUGCUUCUGGGCAAAGCUUGAGUUUGGGUGAGCAACCAACUUUUUUUCUCCAACACACGUGCCUUUUAGUUUUCUCUGAUGACCUUUACACAUUUCAAGUGGGAAAAACACAUUUUUGGGAGUUUAAAGUAGUAGUGCUCACAUUUGUUGGCUUGUCCUUGGGGGUCGUGGUGAAGGCCUUCUUGAGCGCAGUGAUCCAGCCGCUUCCCUUCUUGCCCAUCUCCUUAACAUUUCUCCCACACACACCCCUGCAGCAAUUCCAUGAACAACAAGAACUCAACUACGAUCAACGAACAUGAACAAGAUUGGAUAACAUGCAUGCUAAGUAGUGGUACUGAAUCGAACUAUUGAUACACAAAUAUAAAGGGAAAUCAUAUAUCUGAUGCCUACUCUAUACAAGGGUGGCCAAGUUUUUACCUCAGGACUAGCUUGUUUCCUAAUACAAACUAGGCAGAAGGAUGGUAGAUACAUGGAGCAAAGUCCAGCCAUACCUUGUUUGAGCUUCCCCUGCGUCUACAAAGCCUUGCUGAUGCUUCAGUGGAGUAGCAUCUCAUGGCAGCAAAAGAUGCACCCGCUCUCCGGUCCUUCCAACUCUCUCUUCCUCCGGUGGAGGUGGCCGUCUUAUACUAGAUCCUUUACCGGAUUGGGUGGCCAAGGGGAGCUGCCCACUUCCCCACUCGAUGACACCCAACCAACCUUGCUUCACCAGCAAGCCUCACGAGGAGGCAGCCAAUUGUCAGCACGGCUUUCAGGAGGAGGAGGAGCACUGCUCUCGUACGCCUUGCCUUUGCUGUACUUCAAACAUACAUUCAUCCUUGGAAUUGGAUCUCCCCGAUCCGAAUCCAUGUGUGAUGUGCACAGGCACAACAUGGCUUGCCUUGCCGCGCACAAACUCAACUGUAAGGCUGCGGCCCGGUUGGUCGGUACAGGAAAUAAAUUUGAAAACUACACGAGGAGUCCACAGGAAGUUGUGCAGACAUAAGGGGUUUUAGCUGGCGUGAGAGUGAGGGUUCAGGCAUGAUUAGCCCGUCGAUCGGGCAGAUAUGGUAGCUCACCCUCACCUGAUGGUCCUUGUUCAUCUGUUACCAUGCGCUGUCGACCGCCGGAUCGGACCGGUAACGAUCCGGGAAGCUGGUGAUUCAGUUUUGGCAGUAGCAUCUGAGGGGUUUCACAGUGGGCAAUGAUUCCGAUCAUGCUCGUGCUGGUGGGUGGUUAAAUCCGAAGCCUGAUCAUUUGCGACCAUCAUAUGCUCGAGCAACACAACUGUCAGCCAGUUGGUAACUAGCUUCAUGUGCAUGUCAUCGCUCAAAUGCUCAUGCACACUUGCUUAAGGCUGAAUCCUCUCUAUAGACAAGCGUGAUGAUGGUUCACUUCCAACGAUGAUCAUGGUUGGCAUUUCUUCCGGCAACAAGUUUACCGUCAGAAUGUAGCAUCUUGGUGGGUGGGACACUUGUUGGCAGGAAAGAAGCCCUCCUGAAAAGGCAGCCAAGGGCCCGAAACGGAUGUUGUUUAUCAGCCUUUUUCAGUAGCUCUCAAAACCAACUAAAUUACAGAGUUACAACACUGGUGUGGCCCACAUGCCUGUGCCGAAGGUGGUGUAAAAGUGGGGGAUGUGUAGGUCUGAGUGGCUUAAGUAGGCAUUGGAAUCUUGCUUGCAAGGUACUUCAAUCCAGAGACCAAAUGGGAGAUAAACAUCUCCUAGAAAGAUGUGUAGUAGGCUAGUUGGUUCCAUCAUCAAAAUCAGGAGCAGGGCUUAGUGCUGGAAGUUGCUCCUAACAACCCAUGUAGGCCACAUCCAUGGCCCUCUUGGUCAAUUCUGUCUUCAUCCUCAAACCAUCUGCCUCCUAGUUGUAUUGGACCCAUCACCUCGAAUACUGUUGCUUGUGCAUGCAUUGCCCCUUGCUUUCGUAUUUGAUUAAACUUGCCACCUUUAUGCUUGCUUCUGAAAUUAUUGUAGUGCUAGUGGGAAGAAGAGCCAGUUGUGUAAUCCAGUGUAAGAUAUAUGCCCCAAGUGUGACCAUCCUUAGGUGUCAAGCCUACUUUUAAGCAUAACCAAACGUGCCAAGAUGCAAAAAAUGUGUGUGUGUUUUACUUGAAGCAAAAUCCCUUUUAAGCAAAGCAAUUAGGUGAGUAUUGAUCAUAAUGCGGUUCUUCAGUUAACAUUAUGCAGUUUCCCUUUUCUUUUUCCGGACCAAGAUGACACGACUUAAUUGUUUCUUGUUCCGGAUCGUUGAAGCAGAGUUUAAGCAAUUAGGUGAGUGUUGAUCAUAUUUCUGUUGUUUUUCAAAACCUUGAUUUUCCGCUGUUUUUAGUCGUUUUGAAAGACUUUGGUGUCGAGAAAAAGCUUGUUUAAAGAAGCUGGUAUUAGAGAUACUCGAAACAUAAUAUUUAAUCGGGAUUGCUAAAUCUCAAUCGACUGAGACUUAACCAAGUCUCAGUCAAUGCUAUUUCAUAAGAUCUUGCAUGGAGAUUCGUGAAAAUUUUAUUUUUAACCUUUUCUUUUUUCUUAUUUAUAUGCUAUGCCACUUGACUGAGACUUGAUUAAGUCUCAGUCGACUGAAACCUAACCACAUCAUAUUUAUUUUAAUAGAUCGAAUAGUGCUUGCGGAAACAAUUGUCAAGAGGAACCAAGUUAGAGGUAAUUGAGAUCAAUUAUUAAAUGCCAAAACUUGUUGUGCAAUUAUAUAAGACUAGUAAAAAAUUGUAUGUGCUUUGCACGUCAUGUAAAUAUGUGUGCAAAGUUCAAUUCAUGGACACACGGCCUGCCCCCUUCAAACAUGGUACCUUCGCAUGUAAAGCUUCAUCGAGUUCAUCAUUGUAGCAAUUCUGUUUUGUAUAUAUGUUGCCCGAAAAAAGGGGUUCAAUUAUGUAUAUAAAGCUUUACAUGCUUAGUAUUAGUAUCUCGUACUAAGCUUACUUUGAAACUUCUUGAAAACUUCCAACUUCUCCCUGACGCGAUUAGUGCGCGCGUUGCGGACGCUCUGCCAGUGUGCACCCUGACCAGUUAUAUGCAUGAAUGGAUAACCUUAGGCAAGUGAAACUUUUCCUACAUUGAUAUAUAGUGAUGGUUCUAGAAAUCAGUGGUACGUGCAUUGGUACUCUAGCUGCAAAUCCCACAAUUUUCAGCCAUCCGAUUGACUCUACCAACGACUCACAUUGCUUUUUGGUUUUGAGAUCCAAACAUUUAAAAAUCGUACACUAUAGAGUAGUAUAGAUAUUACUUUACGGUGUCUUGUUAAACAUUGUCGCGCCUCUUGAGAAAUGCCGUCGAGUUCGUUGGCCUGUGCAAUCAAUGGAGCCAAGCAUACCUGAAAAUCUACAGGCUUUGUUCAUCUCCAAAAGUCUUUGAGUGUCCUAAGCAUUGGGUGCUCUCAAAUACUCCCUUUGUAAACUAAUAUAAAAGUGCACCCGCAAAAAAUAAAUAAUAUAAGAGUGUUUAAAUCACUAAAGUAGUGAUCUAAAUGAAGGAAAUAUGCCCUAGAGGCAAUAAUAAAGUUAUUAUUUAUUUCCUUAUAAUCAUGAUAAAUGUUUAUUAUUCAUGCUAGAAGUGUAUUUACCGGAAACAUAAUACAUGUGUGAAUACAUAGACAAACAAAGUGUCACUAGUAUGCCUCUACUUAACUAGCUCGUUAAUCAAAGAUGGUUAUGUUUCCUAACCAUGAACAAUGAGUUGUUAUUUGAUUAACGAGGUCACAUCAUUAGCAGAAUGAUCUGAUUGACAUGACCCAUUCCAUUAGCUUAGCACCCGAUCGUUUAGUAUGUUGCUAUUGCUUUCUUCAUGACUUAUACAUGUUCCUAUGACUAUGAGAUUAUGCAACUCCCGUUUACCGGAGGAACACUUUGGGUACUACCAAACGUCACAACGUAACUGGGUGAUUAUAAAGGAGUACUACAGGUGUCUCCAAUGGUCGAUGUUGGGUUGGCGUAUUUCGAGAUUAGGAUUUGUCACUCCGAUUGUCGGAGAGGUAUCUCUGGGCCCUCUCGGUAAUACACAUCACAUAAGCCUUGCAAGCAUUACAACUAAUAUGUUAGUUGUGAGAUGAUGUAUUACGGAACGAGUAAAGAGACUUGCCGGUAACGAGAUUGAACUAGGUAUUGGACACCGACGAUCGAAUCUCGGGCAAGUAACAUACCGAUGACAAAGGGAACAACAUAUGUUGUUAUGCGGUCUGACCGAUAAAGAUCUUCGUAGAAUAUGUAGGAUCCAAUCUGGGCAUCCAGGUCCCGCUAUUGGUUAUUGACUAGAGACGUGUCUCGGUCAUGUCUACAUUGUUCUCGAACCCGUAGGGUCCGCACGCUUAAGGUUACGAUGACAGUUAUAUUAUGAGUUUAUGCAUUUUGAUGUACCGAAGGUUGUUCGGAGUCCCGGAUGUGAUCACGGACAUGACGAGGAGUCUCGAAAUGGUCGAGACGUAAAGAUUGAUAUAUUGGAAGCCUAUAUUUGGAUAUCGGAAGUGUUCCGGGUGAAAUCGGGAUUUUACCGGAAUACCGGGAGGGUUACCGGAACCCCCCGGGAGCUAUUUGGGCCAUAGUGGGCCUUAGUGGAAAAGAGAAGGGGCUGCCCUAGAUGGGCUGCGCGCCCCCCCUUCCCCUAGUCCUAUUAGGACUAGGAGAGGUGGCCGGCCCCCUCCUCCUCUUUUCCCCUCCGAGGGAUCCUAGUUGGACUAGGAUUGGAGGGGGAAUCCUACUCCCAGAGGGAGUAGGACUCUCCUGCGCCUCCCCCCCUUGGCCGGCCAGCCUCCCCUCCUCUCCUCCUUUAUAUACGGAGGCAGGGGCACCUCUAAACACACAAGUGGACACAAGUUGAUCCACGUGAUCUAUUCCUUAGCCGUGUGCGGUGCCCCCUGCCACCAUAUUCCUCGAUAAUACUGUAGCGGAGUUUAGGCGAAGCCCUGCUGCUGUAGUUCAUCAAGAUCGUCACCACGCCGUCGUGCUGACGAAACUCUUCCCCGACACUUUGCUGGAUCGGAGUCCGGGGAUCGUCAUCGAGCUGAACGUGUGCUCGAACUCGGAGGUGCCGUAGUUUCGGUGCUUGAUCGGUUGGAUCGAGAAGACGUACGACUACUUCCUCUACGUCGUGUCAUCGCUUCCGCAGUCGGUCUGCGUUGGGUACGUAGACAAUACUCUCCCCUCGUUGCUAUGCAUCACAUGAUCUUGCGUGUGCGUAGGAAUUUUUUUGAAAUUACUACGAAACCCAAUAGUGGCAUCCGAGCCUAGGUUAUUUAUGUUGAUGUUAUAUGCACGAGUAGAACACAAGUGAGUUGUGGACGAUACAAGUCAUACUGCCUACCAGCAUGUCAUACUUUGGUUCGGCGGUAUUGUUGGACGAGACGACUCGGACCAACCUUACGCGUACGCUUACGCGAGACCGGUUCCCUCGACGUGCUUUGCACAGAGAUGGCUUGCGGGCGACUGUCUCUCCAACUUUAGUUGAACCAAGUAUGGCUACGCCCGGUCCUUGCGAAGGUUAAAACGGAGUCUAUUUGACAAACUAUCGUUGUGGUUUUGAUGCAUAGGUGAGAUUGGUUCUUACUUAAGCCCGUAGCAGCCACGUAAAACAUGCAACAACAAAGUAGAGGACGUCUAACUUGUUUUUGCAGGGCAUGUUGUGAUGUGAUAUGGUCAAGGCAUGAUGCUGAAUUUUAUUGUAUGAGAUGAUCAUGUUUUGUAACCAAGUUAUCGGCAACUGGCAGGAGCCAUAUGGUUGUCGCUUUAUUGUAUGCAAUGCAAUCGCGAUGUAAUGCUUUACUUUAUUACUAAACGGUAGUGAUAGUCGUGGAAGCAUAAGAUUGGCGAGAUGACAACGAUGCUACGAUGGAGAUCAAGGUGUCGCGCCGGUGUCGAUGGUGAUCAUGACGGUGCUUCGGAGAUGGAGAUCACAAGCACAAGAUGAUGAUGACCAUAUCAUAUCACUUAUAUUGAUUGCAUGUGAUGUUUAUCUUUUUAUGCAUCUUAUCUUGCUUUGAUUGAUGGUAGCAUUAUAAGAUGAUCUCUCACUAAAUUAUCAAGAAGUGUUCUCCCUGAGUAUGCACCGUUGCCAAAGUUCGUCGUGCCCAGACACCACGUGAUGAUCGGGUGUGAUAAGCUCUACGUCCAUCUACAACGGGUGCAAGCCAGUUUUUGCACACGUAGAAUACUCAGGUUAAACUUGACGAGCCUAGCAUAUGCAGAUAUGGCCUCGGAACACGGAGACCGAAAGGUCGAGCGUGAAUCAUAUAGUAGAUAUGAUCAACAUAACGAUGUUCACCAUUGAAAACUACUCCAUCUCACGUGAUGAUCGGUCAUGGUUUAGUUGAUUUGGAUCACGUAAUCACUUAGAGGAUUAGAGGGAUGUCUAUCUAAGUGGGAGUUCUUAAAUAAUAUGAUUAAUUGAACUUAAAUUUAUCAUGAACUUAGUACCUGAUAGUAUCUUGCUUGUUUAUGUUGAUUGUAGAUAGAUGGCUCGUGCUGUUGUUCCGUUGAAUUUUAAUGCGUUCCUUGAGAAAGCAAAGUUGAAAGAUGAUGGUAGCAAUUACACGGACUGGGUCCGUAACUUGAGGAUUAUCCUCAUUGCUGCACAGAAAAAUUACGUCCUGGAAGCACCGCUGGGUGCCAGGCCUGCUGCUGGAGCAACACCAGAUGUUAUGAACGUCUGGCAGAGCAAAGCUGAUGACUACUCGAUAGUUCAGUGUGCCAUGCUUUACGGCUUAGAAGCGGGACUUCAACGACGUUUUGAACGUCAUGGAGCAUAUGAGAUGUUCCAGGAGUUGAAGUUAAUAUUUCAAGCAAAUGCCCGAAUUGAGAGAUAUGAAGUCUCCAAUAAGUUCUAUAGCUGCAAGAUGGAGGAGAAUAGUUCUGUCAGUGAGCAUAUACUCAAAAUGUCUGGGUAUAAUAAUCACUUGAUUCAAUUGGGAGUUAAUCUUCCGGAUGAUUGCGUCAUUGACAGAAUUCUCCAAUCACUGCCACCAAGCUACAAGAGCUUCGUGAUGAACUAUAAUAUGCAAGGGAUGAACAAGACUAUUCCCGAGCUCUUCGCAAUGCUGAAAGCUGCGGAAGUAGAAAUCAAAAAGGAGCAUCAAGUAUUGAUGGUUAACAAAACAACUAGUUUCAAGAAAAAGGGCAAAGGAAAGAAGAAAGGGAAUUUCAAGAAGAACAGCAAGCCAGUUGCUGCUCAAGAGAAGAAACCCAAGUCUGGACCUAAGCCUGAAACUGAGUGCUUCUACUGCAAGUAGACUGGUCACUGGAAGCGGAACUGUCCCAAGUAUUUGGCGGAUAAGAAGGAUGGCAAGGUGAACAAAGGUAUAUGUGAUAUACAUGUUAUUGAUGUGUACCUUACUAGAGCUCGCAGUAGCACCUGGGUAUUUGAUACUGGUUCUGUUGCUAAUAUUUGCAACUCGAAUCAGGGACUACAGAAUAAGCGGGCACUGGCAAAGGACGAGGUGACGAUGCGCGUGGGAAACGGUUCCAAAGUCGAUGUGAUCGCAGUCGGCACGCUACCUCUACAUCUACCUUCGGGAUUAAUAUUAGACCUAAGUAAUUGUUAUUUGGUGCCAGCGUUGAGCAUGAACAUUAUAUCUGGAUCUUGUUUAAUGCGAGACGGUUAUUCAUUUAAAUCAGAGAAUAAUGGUUGUUCUAUUUAUAUGAGUAAUAUCUUUUAUGGUCAUGCACCCUUGAAGAGUGGUCUAUUCUUAUUGAAUCUCGAUAGUAGUAAUACACAUAUUCAUAAUGUUGAAGCCAAAAGAUGCAGAGUUGAUAAUGAAAGUGCAACUUAUUUGUGGCACUGUCGUUUAGGUCAUAUCGGUAUAAAGCGCAUGAAGAAACUCCAUGCUGAUGGACUUUUGGAACCACUUGAUUAUGAAUCACUUGGUACUUGCGAACCGUGCCUUAUGGGCAAGAUGACUAAAACACCGUUCUCCGGUACUAUGGAGAGAGCAACAGAUUUGUUGGAAAUCAUACAUACCGAUGUAUGUGGCCCGAUGAAUAUUGAGGCUCGUGGCGGAUAUCGUUAUUUUCUCACCUUCACAGAUGAUUUAAGCAGAUAUGGGUAUAUCUACUUAAUGAAACAUAAGUCUGAAACAUUUGAAAAGUUCAAAGAAUUUCAGAGUGAAGUUGAAAAUCAUCGUAACAAGAAAAUAAAGUUUCUACGAUCUGAUCGUGGAGGAGAAUAUUUGAGUUACGAGUUUGGUGUACAUUUGAAAAACUGUGGAAUAGUUUCGCAACUCACGCCACCUGGAACACCACAGCGUAAUGGUGUGUCCGAACGUCGUAAUCGUACUUUACUAGAUAUGGUGCGAUCUAUGAUGUCUCUUACUGAUUUACCGCUAUCAUUUUGGGGAUAUGCUUUAGAGACGGCCGCAUUCAUGUUAAAUAGGGCACCAUCAAAAUCCGUUGAGACGACGCCUUAUGAACUGUGGUUUGGCAAGAAACCAAAGUUGUCGUUUCUUAAAGUUUGGGGCUGCGAUGCUUAUGUGAAAAAGCUUCAACCUGAUAAGCUCGAACCCAAAUCGGAGAAAUGUGUCUUCAUAGGAUACCCAAAGGAAACUGUUGGGUACACCUUCUAUCACAGAUCCGAAGGCAAGACAUUCGUUGCUAAGAAUGGAUCAUUUCUAGAGAAGGAGUUUCUCUCGAAAGAAGUGAGUGGGAGGAAAGUAGAACUUGACGAGGUAACUGUACCUGCUCCUUUACUGGAAAGUAGUUCAUCACAGAAAACUGUUUCAGUGACACCUACACCAGUUAGUGAGGAAGCCAAUGAUAAUGAUCAUGAAACUUCAAAUCAAGAUACUACUGAACCUCGUAGAUCAACCAGAGUAAGAUCCGCACCAGAGUGGUACGGUAAUCCUGUUCUGGAGGUCAUGCUACUAGAUCAUGAUGAACCUACGAACUAUGAAGAAGCGAUGGUGAGCCCAGAUUCCGCAAAGUGGCUUGAAGCCAUGAAAUCUGAGAUGGGAUCCAUGUAUGAGAACAAAGUAUGGACUUUGGUUGACUUGCCCGAUGAUCGGCAAGCAAUUGAGAAUAAAUGGAUCUUUAAGAAGAAGACUGACGCUGAUGGUAAUGUUACUGUCUACAAAGCUCGACUUGUCGCAAAAGGUUUUCGGCAAGUUCAAGGGAUUGACUACGAUGAGACCUUCUCACCCGUAGCGAUGCUUAAGUCCGUCCGAAUCAUGUUAGCAAUUGCCGCAUUUUAUGAUUAUGAAAUUUGGCAGAUGGAUGUCAAAACUGCAUUCCUGAAUGGGUUUCUGGAAGAAGAGUUGUAUAUGAUGCAACCAGAAGGUUUUGUCGAUCCAAAGGGAACUAACAAAGUGUGCAAGCUCCAGCGAUCCAUUUAUGGACUGGUGCAAGCCUCUCGGAGUUGGAAUAAACGUUUUGAUAGUGUGAUCAAAGCAUUUGGUUUUAUACAGACUUUCGGAGAAGCCUGUAUUUACAAGAAAGUGAGUGGGAGCUCUGUAGCAUUUCUGAUAUUAUAUGUGGAUGACAUAUUACUAAUUGGAAAUGAUAUAGAAUUUCUGGAUAGCAUAAAGGGAUACUUGAAUAAAAGUUUUUCAAUGAAAGACCUCGGUGACGCUGCUUACAUAUUAGGCAUUAAGAUCUAUAGAGAUAGAUUAAGACGCUUAAUUGGACUUUCACAAAGCACAUACCUUGACAAAAUUUUGAAGAAAUUCAAAAUGGAUCAAGCAAAGAAAGGAUUCUUGCCUGUAUUACAAGGUGUGAAGUUGAGUAAGACUCAAUGCCCGAUCACUGCAGAAGAUAGAGAGAAUAUGAAAGAUGUUCCCUAUGCAUCAGCCAUAGGCUCUAUCAUGUAUGCAAUGCUGUGUACCAGACCUGAUGUGUGCCUUGCUAUAAGUUUAGCAGGGAGGUACCAAAGUAAUCCAGGAGUGGAUCACUGGACAGCGGUCAAGAACAUCCUGAAAUACCUGAAAAGGACUAAGGAUAUGUUUCUCGUAUAUGGAGGUGACAAAGAGCUCACCGUAAAAGGUUACGUUGAUGCAAGCUUUGACACUGAUCCGGACGAUUCUAAAUCGCAAACCGGAUACGUGUUUACAUUAAACGGUGGAGCUGUCAGUUGGUGCAGUUCUAAACAAAGCGUUGUAGAGGGAUCUACAUGUGAAGCGGAAUACAUAGCUGCUUCGGAAGCAGCAAAUGAAGGAGUCUGGAUGAAGGAGUUCAUAUCCGAUCUAGGUGUCAUACCUAGUGCAUCGGGUCCAAUGAAAAUCUUUUGUGACAAUACUGGUGCAAUUGCCUUGGCAAAGGAAUCCAGAUUUCACAAAAGGACCAAACACAUCAAGAGACGCUUCAACUCCAUCCGGGAUCUAGUCCAGGUGGGAGACAUAGAGAUUUGCAAGAUACAUACGGAUCUGAAUGUUGCAGACCCAUUGACUAAACCUCUUCCACGAGCAAAACAUGAUCAGCACCAAGGCUCCAUGGGUGUUAGAAUCAUUACAGUGUAAUCUAGAUUAUUGACUCUAGUGCAAGUGGGAGACUGAAGGAAAUAUGCCCUAGAGGCAAUAAUAAAGUUAUUAUUUAUUUCCUUAUAAUCAUGAUAAAUGUUUAUUAUUCAUGCUAGAAGUGUAUUUACCGGAAACAUAAUACAUGUGUGAAUACAUAGACAAACAAAGUGUCACUAGUAUGCCUCUACUUAACUAGCUCGUUAAUCAAAGAUGGUUAUGUUUCCUAACCAUGAACAAUGAGUUGUUAUUUGAUUAACGAGGUCACAUCAUUAGCAGAAUGAUCUGAUUGACAUGACCCAUUCCAUUAGCUUAGCACCCGAUCGUUUAGUAUGUUGCUAUUGCUUUCUUCAUGACUUAUACAUGUUCCUAUGACUAUGAGAUUAUGCAACUCCCGUUUACCGGAGGAACACUUUGGGUACUACCAAACGUCACAACGUAACUGGGUGAUUAUAAAGGAGUACUAUAGGUGUCUCCAAUGGUCGAUGUUGGGUUGGCGUAUUUCGAGAUUAGGAUUUGUCACUCCGAUUGUCGGAGAGGUAUCUCUGGGCCCUCUCGGUAAUACACAUCACAUAAGCCUUGCAAGCAUUACAACUAAUAUGUUAGUUGUGAGAUGAUGUAUUACGGAACGAGUAAAGAGACUUGCCGGUAACGAGAUUGAACUAGGUAUUGGAUACCGACGAUCGAAUCUCGGGCAAGUAACAUACCGAUGACAAAGGGAACAACGUAUGUUGUUAUGCGGUCUGACCGAUAAAGAUCUUCAUAGAAUAUGUAGGAGCCAAUAUGGGCAUCCAGGUCCCGCUAUUGGUUAUUGACCAGAGACGUGUCUCGGUCAUGUCUACAUUGUUCUCGAACCCGUAGGGUCCGCACGCUUAAGGUUACGAUGACAGUUAUAUUAUGAGUUUAUGCAGUUUGAUGUACCGAAGGUUGUUCGGAGUCCCGGAUGUGAUCACGGACAUGACGAGGAGUCUCGAAAUGGUCGAGACGUAAAGAUUGAUAUAUUGGAAGCCUAUAUUUGGAUAUCGGAAGUGUUCCGGGUGAAAUCGGGAUUUUACCGGAAUACCGGGAGGGUUACCGGAACCCCCCGGGAGCUAUUUGGGCCAUAGUGGGCCUUAGUGGAAAAGAGAAGGGGCUGCCCUAGAUGGGCUGCGCCCCCCUUCCCCUAGUCCUAUUAGGACUAGGAGAGGUGGCCGGCCCCCUCCUCCUCUUUUCCCCUCCGAGGAAUCCUAGUUGGACUAGUAUUGGAGGGGGAAUCCUACUCCCAGAGGGAGUAGGACUCUCCUGCGCCUCCCCCCCUUGGCCGGCCAGCCUCCCCUCCUCUCCUCCUUUAUAUACGGAGGCAGGGGCACCUCUAAACACACAAGUGGACACAAGUUGAUCCACGUGAUCUAUUCCUUAGCCGUGUGCGGUGCCCCCUGCCACCAUAUUCCUCGAUAAUACUGUAGCGGAGUUUAGGCGAAGCCCUGCUGCUGUAGUUCAUCAAGAUCGUCACCACGCCGUCGUGCUGACGAAACUCUUCCCCGACACUUUGCUGGAUCGGAGUCCGGGGAUCGUCAUCGAGCUGAACGUGUGCUCGAACUCGGAGGUGCCGUAGUUUCGGUGCUUGAUCGGUUGGAUCGAGAAGACGUACGACUACUUCCUCUACGUCGUGUCAUCGCUUCCGCAGUCGGUCUGCGUUGGGUACGUAGACAAUACUCUCCCCUCGUUGCUAUGCAUCACAUGAUCUUGCGUGUGCGUACGAAUUUUUUUGAAAUUACUACGAAACCCUACACUAAACGCUUUUAUAUUAGCUUACAGAGGGAGUACUAUGGUUCGAACACUUCAACCAUCGCCUUUGCAAAUUACUUGACAAACAAGACUGAAGGGUUCUCUCCCAUCGCCAAGCGAUCAUCAAUGAAAUCUAUUGAAACACCAUAUGCGAUCAUGUGCAAUGCGGCAGUCACCUUCUAGAUAGUGCUAUGUGCAAUAUCUCCAACACAAAUUUUUGCUCGAAGAACCGAUCAUAUUGUUCACACACUUGGCAACAUGAAGGAACUGUAAAACUAGAUGGAAGCGUUGAACCCUUUGCUCGGGCCGCGGUUGUAUAUAUAUGAUGUGUGCCGUGGCUUACAAGAAUAGAUCGAGAGGAGAUCGAUCGUGAUUGUUAUAGGAGGUUUGAGGAGAUAGAACAGAAGAAGAGAUAGAAGUUAAACACCUUUCCUAUCUCUAUACAAUAUUUUCUAACACCCCCCCCCCCUCAAUCUAAACCUCAAGAAACUUUCGCAAGGUUAAGAUUGUACUUGAACUCAUCCAACCUCCUCAUAGUGAGAGUGAAAUGAUCAAUAUAGUUGACUAGAGGGGGGGGGGGUGAAUAGGCAACUAACAAUUUUUGCUUUUCUUUACCAAUUUAAACUUUGCAUCAAAGUAGGUUGUGUAGAUAUGCAACUAGAUGAGCAACCUAUAUGAUGCAACAAGAACAAGUACACAAGCAAGCAAGGGAUAUAACACAAAUAAGCUUGCACAAGUAAAGGCACGAGAUAACCAAGAGUGGAGCCGGUGAAGACGAGGAUGUGUUAUCGAAGUUCCUUCCUUUUGAGGGGAAGUACGUCUCCGUUGGAGUGGUGUGGAGGCAAAAUGCUCCCCAAGAAGUCACUAGGGCCACCGUAUUCUCCUCAUGCCUUCACACAAUGCGAGAUGCCGUGAUUCCACUAUUGGUGCCCUUGGAGGCGGCGACCGGACCUUUAGAAACAAGCUUGGGGCUAUCUCCACAACUUAAUUGGAGGCUCCCAACGAUACCACAAAGCUUCACCACAAUGGAAUAUGGCUCCGCAGUGACCUCAACCGUCUAGGGUGCUCAAACACCCAAAAGUAACAAGAUCCGCAAGGGAUGAGUGGGGGAAUCAAAUUUCUCUUGGUGGAAGUGUAGAUCUAGGCCUUCUCAACCAAUCCCUAGAGAAUUAACAAGUUUGAUUGGCUAGGGAGAGAGAUCGGGCGAAAAUGGAGCUUGGAGCAAUAAUGGAGCUUGGGGAUAGAAGAGAUAGUCAACUUGUAGAAGAAGACACCCCUUAUAUAGUGGAAGAACAAAUCCAAUCGUUAUCCACCAACUCAGCCUGCGUGGCACGGUACUACUGCGCCGGGGACGUGGUACUACCGCAGUGCCCCGCGGUACUACCGCCCGAGCAGCAGAAUCCAUAACAACCCUGAAGCUGUGAGGCAGAGGGCUGUAGAACCGCUGGCGCGGUACUACUGCUCCCCCUUGCGGUACUACCACAAGACAGGGAUGAUCCAUAUUUUGGGAAGGCACGGACAUAUAAAAAAACAUCCGUGGCAACUUCCAUUGAGAUGGGAUCUAUGCAAAAAUCCGACAUGAGAGUACCGCAAGCCAGGAACGGUACUACCGCGCGGGGUGCGGAUGUAAAAAAUUACAUCUGCUCCUACUGCCGCCCCAGCGGCUGCUCCUGGCCAGAGCACACGGUACUACCGCGCACCUGGUGCGGUACUACCGCGUAAGGCGUGGAUGUAAAAAAUUACAUCCGUCCCUACUACCGCAAAAACAUCAGCGCCUGGCCUGAGGGCACAGUACUACCGCUCCAAGGAAGCGGCACUACCGUGGGCACUCACGGUACUACCGCGCCAGAGGCCGGUACUACCGCAAGGGCCUGCGGUACUACCGCUCCUAGGAGCAGUACUACCGCAUGCCUGAGAUCAGCAAACACGACAUUUUUGCAUAGACAAGAAAAGACGGAGGAUGCUCCAAAAGGGCCAAAGGAAAGGCGGUGCAAAGGAGAAGACGUGUACGUGAUGAUUCCACCCAAACCUUUCCAAAGCGGAUCCCCUCUUAAUAGUAUGGCUUUCCUACAACUCAAAUCCACUGAAAAGAAACAUAGAGAAACGCCGUCUUCAAUAGUCUUUGAGGGGCACCAAAUCGUCUUGUGCCUAGUGAUAAAGUGUCUGAAAUAGUCAAUGCACACGAUUAGUCCGUGAUGGGGUUAUGUACCUAGGGUAGGGUCAUGGACCUGAUCCAAGUAACUUACCCCAGGACAUCCUUAGAAGAGGAUUCACUCGACUGGUCUGAAGGACUCGACCACGAAGACUCACUCGACCACCAGGAGGUCAAGAGGCACUCUGCACUGCAACGGCCUGUAAUCAAGUAGACUUUAUGAUAGUAAAGGCCUUUAUGUGGGGCGUUACCAGUAACGCCCCAGACUUAACUCACCUUAAACCCUCUCCUACGUGGGCUGGCUGGGGUCCUGGCGCACUCUAUAUAAGCCACCCCCCUCCACAGGCAGAGGGGUUCGGCACCUUGUAAUUCACACAUUCAUAAUCCACUCGACCGCCUCCGGGCUCCGAGACGUAGGGCUGUUACUUCUUCCGAGAAGGGCCUGAACUCGUACAUCCUUUGUGCUUACAACCUCUCCAUAGCUAGGACCUUGCCUCUCCAUACCUACCCCCACUCUACUGUCAGGCUUAGAACCACGACAGUUGGCGCCCACCUUGGGGCAGGUGUUUUAGCGAUUCUGUGGAGAAGUUGCGAUUCUUCCGAGUACUCUCAUCAUGGUGUCUGCUGGAGUUUUGGUCAAGGGUCAAGAGAUCCGUCUCGGCACCCUCACCUUCGUCGCCGACGACUCCGCAUGGCUCCAGGAGGCUCCACUCGACGUAGACGCGCUCCCCGUCCGCGGUGCGACGCAUUUUCGCGCAUGUGUCCGCGGCGUUCUGCUACGGCAACCGUCGACCCAGUAUCGGUCGGCUCCUCCAUCGUCCACCCUCCCGGUCUCCCGCCAGCGCAAGCGCUCGGGCCGGUCGAGGCUUCAGCGAUGGGUGAGUCACGCGGUGGCUCGCCAAUCGGCCACUACACAAGUUGCGGCAAUCGAGCCCAACGAAUCUCUCUACGGCUUGUUCGAUCAGUCGACUGGCUCCGGAGAGACUGCAUCCGAGUGCGGAAGCAGUGAUCCAGCAGCGGAAAUCUUGAUGGUCGACGGGCCCCACAGCCCUCCUGGCUUCGCCCGUGGUGGUGGAGCAGGUGACGGCGGCGACCCUGCACGAGACUACGAAGAGUACCAGCCCGAGCCACUCGACUCUCUGCAAAGAGAAGAGCUUCGCCGCAGGAACGAGGAUCCCCUGCGUAUUCCCAUCGCAGGAGAAACCCCCGAGGCUCGUGCCUUGGAGGAGGCGCGUCUGGCCAAUUUGGCCGAGCGCACUCGACUGGAGAACCUUCAGCGAGCACUCGACGAGCGCGCGCGGCAACGAGUUCCCGACACCAGUCGACGUCAACUCUUCCCGCCGACUCAGGUAUAUCGAACCCCGAUUCAGAAUUUAGCAGCUGCGACCCGUAUAGCAGAGUCCAUUCAGCCUUCGCAGUCGGAAGCUGGCAGAGGUUUGCUGUAGAUCAGGGAUCUGCUCCGGGCAGCAGGAGAUCAGAAUUCAGCCGUGUCUCAGUCGCGCAACAGAAUUCACAGUCGAUCUGUCACUGUGAAUACGGUUCAGUCGGCUCACAGCCCCAGAUCGCCUCCGCGGCGCGAAGGGCGUGAGAAUCGGCGAGAUCAAUAUGGCGACAGACUCGACCGAGAUAAUAGGCGUCGAGUACCCUAUUCCCCUCCGAGGGGUGGGUCUUACGCUCCUCGGCACCCAGAUGAUAGGCGUCAGUACAGUACAGGGCGUAGGGUUCCAGUUGACCCCAGAGAGCCAGGCUUCGACGCGCGAUCCAUUAUCGUGCAAGGGUUGGUCGACCGGAACAGAGCCCAUCGAGGCGCACUCGACAGAGAUGUACCCACGAGCAGUCGAGUACAUGUUUCUGGUCCUGAAUGUUUCAGUAGAGCUAUCAGAGCCGCAGUUAUCCCCCCCAAUUUCAGGUUGGCAACAGGAGUCAGCAAGUUCACUGGUGAGUCUAAGCCUGAAACUUGGCUCGAAGACUACCGAGUGGCAGUUCAGAUCGGUGGUGGGAACGACGAGGUGGCCAUGAAGCAUUUGCCCCUCAUGUUGGAAGGUUCUGCCAGGGCAUGGUUGACUCAAUUACCUCCUAGCAGCAUUUACACUUGGGAAGAUCUGUCCCGAGUGUUCGUCAGAACGUUUGAAGGGACUUGCAAGCGACCAGCGGGAUUGACAGAGUUGCAAGUCUGCGUGCAGAAAACUAAUGAGACUCUCAGAGAGUAUAUUCAGAGGUGGAUCACUUUGCAUCACACUGUGGAAAAUGUCUCUGAUCAUCAGGCAGUAUGCGCCUUCAAAGACGGCGUCAAGAACAGAGAACUGAGUUUGAAAUUUGGUCGAACCGGUGACAUGACCUUGAGUCGGAUGAUGGAGAUUGCUACCAAGUACGCCAACGGCGAAGAAGAAGACCGACUCCGAAGCGGCAAGCACAAGCCAAGUCAGUCGGAAAAAGGAAACACCAGUCGGAAACAGAAGCGGAAGGCUGAACCGGCAGCUCCUGGAGAGGCUCUGGCCGUGACUCAAGGAAAGUUUAAGGGGAAACCAAAAGGAUCCUGGAACCCCAAGAAGGUAAAGGAUAAAGAAGGGAAUGACGUGAUGGAUAUGCCAUGUCACAUUCACACGAAGAAAGAUGAAGAGGGGAAUAUCAUUUACCCAAAGCACACCACUCGCCAAUGUCGACUCCUGAUCCAGCAGUUUCAGGGAAAACAGUCUAAGGACAAGGAGAAGGAGUCGGACAAGGCCGAAGACAAAGAGGACAGUGAGGGAGGAUAUCCGCAUAUCAACUCCACUCUGAUGAUCUUUGCAGAUGUGGAAAGCAGAAGUCGACUGAAAGUGAUUAACCGAGAGGUGAACAUGGUUGCCCCAGCAAAGGCAAAUUAUCUGAAGUGGUCUCAAACACCCAUCACAUUCGACCAAUCAGAUCACCCGACUCAUAUUGCCACCCCGGGAGGCAAGCUUUGGUGGUCGAUCCAGUUGUCGAAGGCACUCGACUGACAAAGGUGCUGAUGGAUGGUGGAAGUGGGCUGAACUUAUUAUAUGCAGACACAUUGAAAGGUAUGGGCAUUCCGAUGUCCCGACUGAGCACUAGUAACAUGAGCUUCCAUGGAGUUAUACCAGGGAAGAAGGCUGAGUCACUCGGCCAGAUAGCUUUGGACGUAGUGUUUGGUGAUUCGAAGCAUUUUCGCAAAGAAAAGUUGACGUUUGAGGUCGUGGAUUUUCAAAGUGCAUAUCAUGCCAUUUUGGGGAGACCAGCCUAUGCACGGUUCAUGGCUCGACCAUGUUACGUGUACCUCAAACUGAAGAUGCCCGGUCCCAAAGGUGUGAUCACUGUCAUCGGUGAUAGGAAAAAGGCAGAGGAGUGCUUUCAGAAGGGCUCCAAGAUUGCCGAUUCCCAAGUGACAGCGGUCGAGUUCGAAGAAUACAAGCAAAACGCAGAUCCGAGUGACUUGCUGCGAUCCAAGAAGCCCGCCACAGAGUCUGCAUUCCAGUCGUCCGGUGAGACGAAGCCUGUUCACAUUCACCCGACCGACCCCGAAGCAGCUCCGACCCGCAUCUCCACAACACUCGACCCAAAAUAGGAAGAAGCGCUCAUCCAGUUCCUCCGUGAGAACUGGGACAUUUUUGCAUGGAAGCCCGCUGAUAUGCCAGGUGUUCCCAGGGGACUGGCUGAGCAUCGCCUAAGAGUCGACUCGUCUGCAAAGCCAGUCAAAGAGCAUCUUCGGCGGUCCGCCGUCCAGAAGAGAAAGGCCAUUGGUGAAGAAGUGGCUCGACUGUUGGCGGCAGGAUUUAUCCGAGAGAUCUACCACUCCGAGUGGCUCGCUAAUGUCGUCAUGGUUCCUAAGAAGGACAAGUCGCUCCGAAUGUGCAUUGAUUUCAAGCACAUCAACCGGGCCUGCCCAAAAGAUCACUUUCCUCUCCCUCGCAUAGAUCAAAUUGUUGACUCGACCGCGGGAUGCGAGAGGUUGUCUUUUUUAGAUGCUUACUCCGGGUACCACCAGAUCCGUCUGUACGGGCCCGAUGAGGUAAAAACAGCUUUCAUCACUCCAUUCGGGUGCUUCUGCUAUAUCACCAUGCCAUUCGGCCUCAAGAAUGCCGGAGCCACAUUUAUGCGAAUGAUUCAGAAGUGUCUACUCACCCAAAUCAGUCGGAAUGUGGAAGCUUAUAUGGAUGAUAUUGUUGUCAAGUCACGAAAAGGUUCCGACCUGCUCGCUGACCUCGCCGAAACAUUUGCCAACCUCAGAAGGUAUGAUAUCAAGCUCAAUCCAUCAAAGUGCACAUUUGGAGUUCCUGGUGGCAAGUUACUCGGUUUUCUCGUUUCCGAACGGGGAAUCGACGCUAACCCAGAGAAGAUUGGCACUAUUCUCCGAAUGAAACGCCCUGUGCGAGUGCACGAUGUCCAGAAGCUUACUGGAUGCUUGGCCGCAUUAAGUUGAUUCAUCUCACGACUCGGUGAAAAGGCACUGCCUCUUUAUCGACUGAUGAAGAAGGCUGACAAGUUCGAGUGGACUCCAGAAGCUGAUGCAGCGUUUGCCGAGCUAAAAGCUCUGCUCUCCACCCAGCCGGUGCUUGCUGCUCCAAUCAGCAAAGAGCCUCUGUUGCUCUACAUCGCAGCCACAGGACAAGUUGUCAGUACUGUGCUAACGGUCGAGCGGGAAGAAGAAGGAAAAGCUCUCAAAGUUCAGCGCCCAGUGUAUUAUUUGUCUGAAGUCUUGACUCCAUCCAAGCAGAGAUAUCUUCAUUAUCAGAAGCUUGUGUAUGGAAUAUACAUGACCACAAAGAAGGUUGCUCAUUAUUUCUCUGACCAUUCCAUCACAGUCGUCAGCGACGCUCCACUAUCAGAGAUUUUGCACAAUAGAGACGCAACUGGUCGAGUGGCCAAAUGGGUGAUUGAACUUCUUCCCCUUGAUAUCAAGUUUGAGGCAAAGAAAGCCAUUAAGUCCCAGGCGAUAGCAGAUUUCCUCGCCGAGUGGAUUGAACAACAGCAGCCGACUGAAGUUCACUCGGAGCAUUGGACCAUGUUUUUCGAUGGCUCUAAGAUGUUGAAUGGUUCCGGUGCUGGGGUUGUCCUGGUUUCCCCCAGAGGAGAUAAGCUCAGAUAUGUGCUCCAGAUUCACUUUGAUUCCUCCAACAAUGAGGCAGAAUAUGAGGCCCUCCUAUAUGGGUUGCGCAUGGCCAUUUCACUCGGCGUCCGUCGCCUAAUGGUCUAUGGCGACUCGGAUUUAGUGGUCAAUCAGGUGAUGAAAGAGUGGAACGUGAGAAGCCCAGCCAUGACUGGAUACUGCAGUGCAGUGAGGAAGCUGGAGAAGAAGUUCGAGGGGUUGGAGCUCCAUCAUAUACCCCGACUGAAAAAUCAAGCAGCUGAUGAUCUAGCAAAGAUAGGUUCCAAGAGAGAAGCCAUUCCGAGUGGUGUGUUCUUGGAGCAUAUACACACUCCGUCAGUCAAAGAAGAUCCUUUCACCGAAGAAACUCCGCAGCCCAAGGGCGCCACAGAUCCGACUGAAGUUGAAAUCCCAGCGGUGGUCGACUUGAUCAUGGAGGUUUUGGUGGUCAUUCCCGACUGGACGAUUCCGUAUGUCGCAUAUAUCUUGAGGAAAGAACUUCCGGAGGAUGAGGAAGAGGCUCGACAGAUCGUCCGUCGAUCUAAGGCCUUUACCGUAAUCAAAGGACAAUUAUACAGAGAAAGCGCGACUGGAGUCGGUUAGAAGUGCAUAACAUCAGAAGAAGGUCGACUCAUCCUCAAUGAUAUUCACUCGGGAACCUGUGGUCAUCACGCGUCCUCUCGGACCAUCGUGGCCAAAGCAUACCGAGCCGGAUUUUACUGGCCCAAGGCGAAUGAGAUGGCAAAAGAGAUAGUAGAUAAGUGCGAGGGAUGUCAGUUCUACUCGAAUAUGUCGCACAAGCCUGCGUCAGCUUUGAAGACCAUCCCGCUCGUCUGGCCUUUUGCAGUUUGGGGGCUGGACAUGAUCGGUCCUUUGAGAACAGGACGAAGUGGCUUCACGCAUUUACUGGUGGCAGUCGACAAGUUCACCAAGUGGAUCGAAGCUAAACCAAUCAAGAGCCUUGACACCGGUACUGCUGUUAGCUUCAUCAGGGAACUAAUAUUCAGAUAUGGAGUCCCGCACAGCAUCAUUACGGAUAAUGGGUCGAACUUUGACUCAGAGGAAUUCAGAGCUUUCUGCGACUCCCAGGGCACACGGGUCGACUACGCAUCAGUCGCCCAUCCGCAGUCGAAUGGACAAGCAGAGCGAGCUAAUGGACUGAUUCUCAAGGGACUGAAGCCUCGACUGAUGCGUGAUCUCAAACACGCGGCUGGAGCUUGGGUCGACGAACUUCCAUCUGUACUCUGGGGACUGCGGACCACGCCUAAUCGGUCGACCGGAAGAACUCCAUUCUUCUUGGUCUAUGGAGCUGAAGCGGUCUUGCCGAGUGAUCUUCUCCACAAUGCUCCUCGAGUUGAAAUCUACAACGAAGCAGAAGCUGAACAAGCGCGGCAGGACGCAGUCGACCUUUUAGAGGAAGAAAGGGAGAUGGCUCUGAUCCGGUCGACCAUCUACCAACAAGAUCUGCGGCGUUUCCACGCCCGAAACGUGAGAGGUCGAGCCUUCCAGGAAGGGGAUUUGGUUCUCCGAGUGGAUCAGCACAAACCACACAAGCUUGCUCCUUCUUGGGAAGGCCCCUUCAUCGUCACCAAGGUUCUCCACAACGGGGCGUACCGUCUUUACAACGUCAAGCAUAAUAUCGACGAGCCCCGAGCUUGGAACGCGGAGCUACUCCGCCCGUUUUACACUUAAGCUUUAUCACUCGGAUGAGUUGCAAUAAAAUACUUCUGUAGUUCAUGGACCUCAAAAUAAUAAGCGUCAUAGUUCCUCCAUAAUAUCUGUCACUUUUUAUUUUUUGUCCAAUGAAAUUCCCCUCAGUGGGUGACUUAGCUGCGAAUCCGUUUCGCCUAAGUUUGUAAAAAUCCUACCGAGUGGUGAGCCAGACUCCCACUCGGAGGCUUAGCCGCGAAUCCGUUUCGCCUAAGUUAUCAAAAUCCUACCGAGUGGUGAGCCAGACUCCCACUCGGAGGCUUAGCUGCAGCCUCGUGCUCGCCUAAGUUAUAAAAAUCCUACCGAGUGAAGAGCAACCCUCUCACUCGGGGGCUUAGCUGCAGUCCAAGCACUCGCCUAAGUCGUAAAAAUCCUACCGAGUGGUAAGCCAGCCUUCCACUCGGAGGCUUAGCCGCGAAUCCGUUUCGCCUAAGUUAUCAAAAUCCUACCGAGUGGUGAGCCAGACUCCCACUCGGAAGCUUAGCUGCAGCCUCGUGCUCGCCUAAGUUAUAAAAAUCCUACCGAGUGAAGAGCAACCCUCUCACUCGGGGGCUUAGCUGCAGUCCAAGCACUCGCCUAAGUCGUAAAAAUCCUACCGAGUGGUAAGCCAGCCUUCCACUCGGAGGCUUAGCUGCAGCCUCGUGCUCGCCUAAGUUAUAAAAAUCCUACCGAGUGAAGAGCAACCCUCUCACUCGGGGGCUUAGCUGCAGUCCAAGCACUCGCCUAAGUCGUAAAAAUCCUACCGAGUGGUAAGCCAGCCUUCCACUCGGAGGCUUAGCUGCAGUCCAAGCACUCGCCUAAGUUAUAAAAAUCCUACCGAGUGAAGAGCAACCCUCUCACUCGGGGGCUUAGCUGCAGCCCAGUGCUCGUCUAAGUGGACUAAAGAAUAAAUCGAUUGCAGCACAGGCACCUUGCCUUGAACCUGCAAAAGACAUUCCGAGCCGAAGGCAAUCGUAUUCAAGCACCAAAUCCAAGUUUGAAUCGACAUCUAAAGGAACCGAAAGUGCUCAGGCGUCAAGCCUGUUAAGGUUUGUCGGUUACAAUUUCACUCGGCAUACCGAGGCAAAUUUAAAGCGUCGAGCCAGAAGAAGUUUUUUACCCCUCCUGUGGAGGGCUGGAAGGUGCAACAAAUUCAUCAAGGUCAAUCCCGUCGGCGAUCCGAGUGGCAGCUGCAAGGAAAGUUUCCAUAAAGGAUCUGAAGUCGUGCUUCUUGGUAUUGGCCACCCGAAGGGCCGCCAGCUUCUCUUCUCGCGCAUCUUUGCAGUGGACUCGGGCCAGACACAGAGCGACAUCUGCACCACACCGAGCCGAGGACUUCUUCCACUCCUGCACUCGUCCAGGGAUCGUGUUCAAGCGGGCCAUCAGCGACUCAAGGUCAUUCUGAAGUGUCUCCUCAGGCCAGAGCGUCGAGUCGAUGCGAGAUGUGGCGGCCUUCAGCCUUGCGAGAUAGUCCACGACAGCUGCAACACGAGACUCCAGUCGGAAAACAUCCAUGGCAACUUCGUCGUUCACCGGAGAAUUGACGGGGUCAAGGUUUGGCUCCAGUCGGCUGGUUUCUUCUUCAAAGUUUUGACAAAAUUCUGCAAGGGUGAUCACUAAGUCAAGGAGAUAGUCGAAUGGAAAAAGCCACAAUUGGAAAUAUUUGCCAAACAUGGAGGUUUACCUUCAAGCAUAAGGAACAACUUUUUGGCAAGGCCGCUCAGGAAGGCCUCCAGUUCAGUUUUCUUCUCAGUCAAUUUGCUGACUUGGUCGGUCAGGGCAGCUUUGUCAGUUUUCAGUCGACUGACCUCCUUGUUGGCAAUCCCAAGAGCAGCUUUCAGAUUGGUAUUGUCUUGUUCGAGCUUGGUAACUGAAGCUAACUUCUCGUCAGCAAGCUUGAUCUUCUCAGCUAGCUCAAGGUCUUUCUUCUGCUGGGCCUCCCUUACCUUACCUGCAAGUUACAGCUAGAUCAGAUGCUGAAACAAGCAAGGGGAAAAGCAGUCGUCAGGGUCUCACCAAACAUACCUUCGGUCUCCUCCUUUGCCUUUGUCAGCUUCUCCUGAACCAACCUCAAGCUUAGCUCGACUUGAGUAUGUUUUUGUUCCAGCUCUGAGUAGCGAGCCACAAGAUCACAGGAGUUCUGUGAAGAACCAAUCGACUAAAUGUCAAAUAUAAUUCACUUCCGAGUGAAAAAGAGAUAAACACACGUUUCUAAGACUACAACCAAAUACAAGCAUUCGACCGUAGUCUCGGGGACUACACCCAGUGGGUGCACUCAGUGUGCCCCCACUAAUCCUGUUAAAGACAAAGUCGACCAGUCGACCUCAAAAAAAAA
rnacentral:lncRNA from 1 species